rnacentral:rRNA from 1 species
GACGAACGCUGGCGGCGUGCUUAACACAUGCAAGUCGAACGGAAAGGCCCUGCUUUUGUGGGGUGCUCGAGUGGCGAACGGGUGAGUAACACGUGAGUAACCUGCCCUUGACUUUGGGAUAACUUCAGGAAACUGGGGCUAAUACCGGAUAGGAGCUCCUGCUGCAUGGUGGGGGUUGGAAAGUUUCGGCGGCUGGGGAUGGACUCGCGGCUUAUCAGCUUGUUGGUGGGGUAGUGGCUUACCAAGGCUUUGACGGGUAGCCGGCCUGAGAGGGUGACCGGCCACAUUGGGACUGAGAUACGGCCCAGACUCCUCCGGGAGGCAGCAGUGGGGAAUAUUGCACAAUGGGCGGAAGCCUGAUGCAGCAACGCCGCGUGCGGGAUGACGGCCUUCGGGUUGUAAACCGCUUUCGCCUGUGACGAAGCGUGAGUGACGGUAAUGGGUAAAGAAGCACCGGCUAACUACGUG